AACGUAGGGGGCUAGCGUUGCUCGGAAUUACUGGGCGUAAAGGGUCCGUAGGCGGUGUGACAAGUCGGUAGUGAAAUCUCUGGGCUUAACUCAGAGGCUGCUGCCGAAACUGUUGUGCUUGAGUGUGAGAGAGGCGAGUGGAAUUACGGGUGUAGCGGUGAAAUGCGUAGAUAUCCGUAGGAACAUCCGAGGCGAAAGCGGCUCGCUGGAUCACAACUGACGCUGAGGGACGAAAGCUAGGGGAGCGAACGGG
rnacentral:rRNA from 1 species